rnacentral:rRNA from 1 species
CCAGACAGCCAGGAUGUUGGCUUAGAAGCAGCCAUCAUUUAAAGAAAGCGUAAUAGCUCACUGGUCGAGUCGGCCUGCGCGGAAGAUGUAACGGGGCUAAACCAUGCACCGAAGCUGCGGCAGCGACACUGUGUGUUGUUGGGUAGGGGAGCGUUCUGUAAGCCUGUGAAGGUGUACUGUGAGGUAUGCUGGAGGUAUCAGAAGUGCGAAUGCUGACAUAAGUAACGAUAAAGCGGGUGAAAAGCCCGCUCGCCGGAAGAC